ensembl:snRNA U1 U1 spliceosomal RNA
AGGCUUACCUGGCAGGGGAGACACCAUGAUGGCCAAGGUGGUUUUCCCAGGGCGAGGCUCAUCCAUUGCACCCCGGAUGUGCUGAGCCCUGCAGUUUCCCCAAGCUGGGGACUCUCAAGUGCAUGAUUUGCGGUAGUAAGGGACUGCGUUUGUACUUUCCUCUC